CAGCCGCCGCGGGAAUACGAAGGGUGCAAGCGUUAAUCGGAAUUACUGGGCGUAAAGCGUGCGUAGGCGGUGAGUUAAGUCUGUUGUGAAAUCCCCGGGCUCAACCUGGGAAUGGCAGUGGAUACUGGCUCGCUAGAGUGUGUCAGAGGAUGGUGGAAUUCCCGGUGUAGCGGUGAAAUGCGUAGAGAUCGGGAGGAACAUCAGUGGCGAAGGCGGCCAUCUGGGACAACACUGACGCUGAGGCACGAAAGCGUGGGGAGCAAACAGGAUUAGAUACCCCCGUAGUCCCUGUCUCUUAUAC
rnacentral:rRNA from 1 species